rnacentral:rRNA from 1 species
CAAAGACGGUAACAGCCCGGUAGUUGAAAUGGCUUUCCCUCCAGAGUGGAUCCUGAGUACGGCGGAACACGUGAAAUUCCGUCGGAAUCCGGGAGGACCAUCUCCCAAGGCUAAAUACUCCCUAGUGACCGAUAGUGAACCAGUACCGUGAGGGAAAGGUGAAAAGCACCCCGGAAGGGGAGUGAAACAGUUCCUGAAACCGUGUGCCUACAAGUAGUUAGAGCCCGUUAAUGGGUGAUAGCGUGCCUUUUGUAGAAUGAACCGGCGAGUUACGAUUUGUUGCAAGGUUAAGCGGAAAAAGCGGAGCCGUAGCGAAAGCGAGUCUGAAUAGGGCGCAUAAGUAACAGGUCGUAGACCCGAAACCAGGUGAUCUACCCAUGUCCAGGAUGAAGGUAAGGUAAUACUUACUGGAGGUCCGAACCCACGCACGUUGAAAAGUGCGGGGAUGAGGUGUGGGUAGCGGAGAAAUUCCAAUCGAACUUGGAGAUAGCUGGUUCUCUCCGAAAUAGCUUUAGGGCUAGCCUCGAGGUAAAGAGUCAUGGAGGUAGAGCACUGUUUGGACUAGGGGCCCUUCUCGGGUUACCGAAUUCAGAUAAACUCCGAAUGCCAUGUACUUAUACUCGGGAGUCAGACUGCGAGUGAUAAGAUCCGUAGUCGAAAGGGAAACAGCCCAGACCACCAGUUAAGGUCCCCAAAUAUAUGUUAAGUGGAAAAGGAUGUGGGGUUGCUUAGACAACCAGGAUGUUGGCUUAGAAGCAGCCACCAUUGAAAGAGUGCGUAAUAGCUCACUGGUCGAGUGACCCCGCGCCGAAAAUGUACCGGGGCUAAACAUAUUACCGAAACUGUGGAUGAACCUCUUUAGAGGUUCGUGGUAGGAGAGCGUUCUAAGGGCGGUGAAGUCAGACCGGAAGGACUGGUGGAGCGCUUAGAAGUGAGAAUGCCGGUAUGAGUAGCGAAAGAAGGGUGAGAAUCCCUUCCACCGAAUAUCUAAGGUUU